CUUAAAGUAAUGAUGGACUGUCAUUUCUCUUUGCUCAUUUGUACUGUUGUUGCCAUAAUAUGGACUUGGUCUUUUACCAAAUAGGGCUGUCUUCUGUAUACCACCUUGUCACAACACAACUGAUUGGCUCAAACGCAUUAAGGAAAGAAAUUCCACAAAUUAACUUUUAACAAGGCACACCUGUUAAUUGAAAUGCAUUCUAGGUGACUGCCUCAUGAAGAUGGUUUAGAGAAUGCCAAGAGUGUGCAAAGAUGUCAUCAAGGUAUAAGCAGAAACAUGCAACAGAUCUCAGUCUCACCUGCAGACUGGCUUUCACGGAGUCCCUGAUGUCAAUCACUCUACCAGCCUUCACCAACACCCUGGGCAGCCUGUUCAUCAAUUGGUACAUUGUCAGUGUUCUGCCUCCUGCCCCUUCCCAGGGAGCUCCACCCACGGUCACCUCUCUUGGAACGCCUCCUCUCGCCUGUCGUGAACCUGUGUACGCCAAAAGACGACGUGCCACUACUCACCACAAAACAAACAGGAAAUACAUUGUCCAGAAGCCAUAGAGGGGAAUACUAAAACCCCAAAGGACAAGGUGAAUGCAACGAACGCCCCAAACAAGGCAUCGGGGGCAAGCACCUUGACACUUCCGUUUUUGCUGCAGUUGGGACUGAUGGUUGCACCUGCCUUACUUCAAACUCUGCUGUAGCACUUGCUAUGCUCUCCUUCCACAAGACUCUGCAGAACUUCUGCAAGAACGGGGGCAACAACAUAACAAUAGCUUUAAUGACUAGGCCUACUAUAUUUACCUGUACUGUAGACCCUAGCUGACCCGUUUCCAUGACUGAACACCAUGAUAUUCUUAACCCAAAUGACCUUGUAAUAAUCAUACAGAAACAGAAAUAAAGUUGUGUAUCUACACUCUUCUUGAUAUUUUCUAUCUCUGUCUAAUAGAUGGAGCCAUGUGCAGACUAUGCCUAUGACAUAUUGUGGGCUAGGGAUAGGCUAGGCAUUAGCCUUGAAAACCACCCUGGUUUCUUUACCUGGCUGCCACACCCCUCCCUCAGAGCUCUGGGUCUGCUCAGCUUCCUUUACUUCCUGUUGUGUCGAGCUCCUCUCCACACCCCACCCAGACCAUGCGGUAGUCAUUCAGAAACCACUGAGUGGUUAAAAAAACUCACUGUGAGUUUAAAAAAAAAACUUUUCAGUAACAUCGGUUAACCUGUCUGGGAACCUGGGACGUUUGCGUCCCACCCUAGUCAACAGCCAGUGGAAUCGCGUCGCGCGAAAUACAAAUACCUCAUAAAUGCUAUAACUUCAAUUUCUCAAACAUAUGACUGUUUUACACCAUUUUAUAAAUACACCUCUCCAGAAUCGAACCAUGUUGUCCGAUUUCAAAAAGGCUUUACAGCAAAAGCAAAACAUUAGAUUAUGUUAGGAGAGUACCCUGCCAAAAAUAAUCACACUGCCAUUUUCAAAGCAACUAGCAUGCAUCACAAAUACCCAAAACACAGCUAAAUGCAGCACUAACCUUUGACAAUCUUCAUCAGAUGACACUCCUAGGACAUCAUGUUACACAAUACAUGCAUUUUUUGUUCGAUAAAGUUCAUAUUUAUAUAUAAAAACAGCAUUUUACAUCGACGCGUGACGUUCAGAAAAUAUUUUCCCUCAUAUGCUUCCGGUGAUCAGCGCUACAAUUUUCAAAAUUACUAUUCGAAAACAUUGGUCAAAUAUAAUAUUGUCAUUCAAAGAAUUAUCGAUUAACCUGUUGGGGGUAGGGGGCAGUAUUUGCACGGCCGGAUAAAAAACGUACCCGAUUUAAUCUGGUUAUUACUACUGCC
rnacentral:lncRNA from 1 species